UAACAGCACAUCAGCUUAAUAUAAAAUCAGAAAGCGUAUAUAGAUCUGGCAAUUCCAGGUCUAUGUAUUUACCCAAGAGAAAUAAAAAUACAUGUCCACACAAAGGCUUGAACAGAAUUUUUUAGUUCACUUAAAUAGCCAAAAAAUAGGAAAUAUCCAAAAUCUCCAUCUACCAAUGGUGAAUAAACAAUUUGAGAUAUAACAAUACAGUGCAAUAUUGCUUAGCAACCACUUACAUAGACAGUAACAUGGAUUAAUCUUUGAAACACUAACACGAGCAAAAGAAGCCAGAAACAAAGGAGCACAUACUAUGUGAUUCCAUUUACAUGGAAUUCUAGAGCAGAUGAAAGGCAGAUCAUUGGUUGCUUGGGGUCAAGGUGGGAAGGAUUAUUGGCAAAGGGACAAGAAGGAACCUUUUGUGGGAGGAUUUUUCUAAAUGCUGAUAGUGGUAGAGAUACAGGACUAUAUAAAUUUGACAAAACUCCUCAAAUUGGAUUCACUUAUAUGUAAAUUAUAGCUCAAUUAAAAAGUUGAGUUACAAUAAUGGCACAUAAGGUGGGUAGGAGGGAAUGGAAUUAAAGUGUUCAAAGAUUCUUGCACUGUCCAGAAAUAAAGUAUAUAUAUUACCCCAUCCCCCAGCUUCACAGGACCCUGGGGCCAGAUGGGAAGGGGUUGGCUCUUAACAAAAGGUGAAAGCACACAAAUUCCUAAGAGAGAUGUUUUGUGACCCAGGAACGACCCUCUGUGGCCUGGCUGCUUCCUGGGCAGGUGCAGUCUCCACAGGAAUAGUGGUUGAAUACUCAUAAGAUUUACUGAGGAAUCCAGAGUGUGACAUGAGAAAAAUAUGACUCAAUGAAGGCUCCAAGAUUUUUGGCCUGCACAUCUGCAAGAACAGAGUUCCACGUGACUGAACUAGAGCAGGUCUGAGGGACGUCAGUUUAGGUUUGGACAUACUGAGAUACCUACUCAACCAGAGGUUCUCAAAGUGUGAUCUGGGGACCCUUGGGCUCCCUGAGACUCUUUUAGGGUUCUGUGGCCAAAACUAUUUUUAUACUGUUAAGAGGUCAUUUGCUUUUUUCACUCUAAUUCUUCACAGGCACACAGUAUUUUCUUGAGGCUACAU
rnacentral:lncRNA from 1 species